AACUAAUUUUUCUUUUGCUCUUCUAAAGGCCAUUUGCAAUGAUUCAUAAUUUGCCAGAGGAGAUGGCUCAGUUGGAAAUUAUGUUCAGUUUCUUUAUUCUUAUGCUAAUUCUCUGUCCAUUUGUAAGACGGUUGGUGAUGUUCAGAAUAAUAAGCGAAGUGCAGAAUGAAAUUAAUGGGGCCGAGAUUAGCGGUUUCCUUUCCUUUUCCCUGGGAAGGCGAAUAGGAAGGCGACUUUGUCCCCUCGAUCUGCCGCCGGCCAGGCCGGUGGUUCCUUCCCUCUCCGUCCGCCGCUCCGGCGAUGGGAGAGGGGCGGGAACCCCAGUCCUGUGCUUCCGGUAUGUAGAUAGUAGGGUAGUGGUUCCAGGAGUUGCCGUCAUGGUGGGGGUGGCGGCGUCGGUGUGGAAUAAAGAUGUUGGUGGUUCCCCCUCAUCCCGGCGAAGCCUUUGCCGGAACCGGCGAACUGUCGGCUUUAGGUGCUCUCGGAUCCUUCGAUAUGGUGAGCUUUGGUGCUCCGAGCAAAGCGCUGGAUCUGCCAGCGCAGGUUUGUGGUCACUGGAUCUUUGCAGGUUCUUCUCCUCAACGGCGAAUUGGUAACGGUGACUACAGUAGACUGUUUAAGCAACUAAGCAACUCAAGUCCCAUGGCGAUUACAAAUCAUGAGUGGCUGCUGCACUAUUCUUUAUUUGACGGUCUCUAUGUGGAGGGUUUCAGAACUUUCUCUAGGUGCAGACCGGAUUAGUAGCGGUACACGCUUGCAACUAGCAAAAAUUGCAAGAUGCAGGGUUGCGUUUUCUCUUUCCAAUGCAUGGUAUCUGUUCAGGUGGAUGACCGCUAAUGUAUGUGGGAUAUGGAUGUCUUCAUAUUUGUGGUGGGUACAAGUAAUGUUAAAUUGAAAUUUGAGGCCCUCUUUUCAUUACAACCAGUAGCAAAAUUUAGGUUUUGGUGAGAAGAAAGGUGAACCUAAUGGCUAUAGCACUAUUGAGAAGAAUGUUUCAGUCACUGGAGAAAUUGAGGAACAAAUGAAGUUGAUAGAAGAACAAGCAAUAAAGAUCUAUUAAACAUAUAUAUAUAGAUUGCUUGGCAAUAAAGAUCAACAUAAAAUAGCAUUACUUGUUUUGGGCAUAGCUAAACAUACAAGCUUAAUACUACUGAAAUUCUAAAAUCUAUUUGUAUGUGUUCGAUCAGAAGUAAUGUUUGGUUUUGUUCAUAGGUUGUCCACUGUUUUGUCAUUCCACCUAACUGAAAGAGAUUGUAAUCGGGUCAACAAAUGGCAUACAUUUUUUUCAGGCAGACAAACCUAUUUUGUUGAAAAUCUGAACUUUGUAGUUCAGUAGCUAUUGUGUAGGUGUAUUUCAAUCUUAUGGCUUUUUUUUGCUUGAGAUUCGUAUAUACUGUAAUGAUGUUGAGUUUGUUCACAUUAACCUAUGUUCCUAUUUUGCUGAGCUAUCCACUGAAAUUUGCUUAAUUUCUUCUUGAUUCCUCGUGUUUACUACCACUGUACCACUAGAUUUGAUAUGUUUUUAUUUAGUUCCAUUUAAUAUUGAUUCAACUAUAUUAUGGGUGGCUUUGGCAUUUUUCCCUUACAAUCGUGUGUCUGACGAAUUAUGGGGUGUGCCUCUUUCACACUAAUGUUUGUUGCAAACUAAUCAUGAAAUUCAAUUACUUCAGGUCUUUACUUACAACAUGAUUUACGUCCAAUUCUUUGCUCCUUUUGUUUCAUCACAAAGCAAUGAAGUUUACUAGCAUAACUUCUAGUACUAUUAAGAAAAUCCAUAUUGAAGGGACUUAAGAUACUUCUAUGUUUAAUUUUGAUGAUAAUGUCGUAAAUAGUUGCUAGACACAGACUAGUUCAAUACGGCGACUCCCACCAUUGAAGCUGGCACAGUUCGAUAAAAGACAUGGUUAGUGAGCAUUUUUAACAAUAGUUACAGAAUUUGGCUUUUUGUCUUGUUUCUCACUAUACUUUUGAUUCACCUGCAGCUAGCAUGUUAUGGUUUCAUGUGAUUGUGAUGAAUUUGGUACAUCCAAAGUCCCACUGUGAUAUCUUUGAUUUUGACAUUAUAUUAUUUUUAGUUCAGGGCAGUGAAGCCUAUUACUCCCUCCGUUCGGAAUUACUUGUUGCAAAAAUGGAUGUAUCUAGACAUAUUUUAGUUCUAAAUACAUCCAUUUCCGGGACAAGUAAUUCCGAACGGAGGGAGUAGUCCUGAAGUGUUAUAUGUGCUUCUGUGAUGGUGGCCACUACCUGUUUGUUGGUAUACUUUCAAGAAUUGAAAAUAUUCUGUUUCAGUAUCUGUUCAAGUGGAUGACGGUUAAUGUACGAGGGAUAGAGAGUCGUGUCUUCAUAUUUAUGAUCGGUAAUUGUAAUGUGCAAUUGAAAUUCAAAACUUCGUUUACUAAUAACCAGUAGCAAAGUUCAGGUUUUGUGAGAAGAAAAGUGAACCAAAGGCUAUAGUACUAUUAAUAGGAUACUGUGUUGCUUCCAGCCCAUGGAUAAGAAUGUUUCAGUCUCUGCAGAGAUAGCUGAACAGAUGAAGUUGGCGUAAAAUCUAUGGUCACCUACUGCUUGAAGAUCAAGUUCGACAGUAUUCAGUUUGCAAAUUCGGUAGCAUUCAAUUUUGUAAUAGAGAUUUCUGAAAAAUAAUAAUCAUGCCGCUGGUUACUUAGUGCUCAGUGGCAUUCAGUUACGUCUAAACGAAUUUUAUUUGUAAGCUUAAGAUGGCUUU